UGCCCGGAGAAGAGUGGGAGUCAAAUAACAAAGAAGUUGAUAUAUUGCGCCGAUCAUAGAAGGUUCGACAGCCAAGAGGUUGAUUAUAACUAUGUCAUGGUCAUUAACAAAGGACAGAAAAGCAUCGAAUAUGUUUCGGUAAAUCUAGUAUACAUGGAUGGGGACCCUUUGCUCGAAGAAAUAUUCAGGAAGGAGAAAUGGUACCUUCUUCUGAAAACUACCUCAUUAUUUGCAUGUUAUGCUUUAGUUGGACGGAAAUGCUGUAUUUGUCAUUAUACUUUUCAUUUAUUCUUGGAAAUGGAGGACAUGAUAAAAAGAGACAAGUACAGCGAUUUAUAUU